AACAGUGACAGCUUCAAGCAACAGGCUGAAUGCAAAGAGCUUUUCCAACUCCAGACACUGCUAGAAGCCUCUCCUUCUCAGGUCAGGACCAACAAGGCAGUAAACCCUUGGAAAUUCAAAGCACAGCUCAGCCAGGCUCUGUCAUCUAUGGAACACACAUGGAGCUCUGAAGAUUAAAUGAUAAAACUCUACAUGGCCCUGCAGUAAAGUGGCUCCCAAAGCCCCAGCACACCCAGCAGCAGAGACUACAAGCAGAAAGCAAGCAGAAAAGCAAAGCAGAAGUCUCUGUGGGUGUGAAGAAGAAGUGUAUUGAAUACUCACAGCCACGUCUGGACCGGACCUGCCCUUUCGUGCUGCCAUAGUCCGGCACUUCGGCUGAAACCUGAGCCUGGUGUCCCCUCUCUCCCUCCUUGGUUAUCUACUCCACAGCUUUGAGAGAGCCAACAGGAUAUUUAAUACCAAGCCAUCUCCGGAAAGCAAAUGACUGCUGCCAAGCGCAGGGAGGGGGUCAGAGCUGCAGGUACCACCUCACGAACAGCAGAGGAAAAGCAGCCCCACAGAUAUGCCCAGGAGCCUGGCAACUCACAGGUGGCUGCUAAAUCCUAUACACAGGCAUCAUGCUCUACAGACUUGCAGACAUCCAAGCUGUGAAGUGUCAGGAGGCUGCUGCCAGCAAUUCUGCAAGAGAGAAGCCUCAGAUCUGGACUUCAUUAAGUGCUUCAAGACCUUCUAAAGUCAAAAACAUAGCACAGUACAUCAGGCUGUGCUUUUACUCCCCUUUCUUUUUCUUCAGGAAAAUAAAAUCUCCCCUUGUCUGC